rnacentral:rRNA from 1 species
ACUCCUACGGGAGGCAGCAGUAGGGAAUCUUCCACAAUGGGCGCAAGCCUGAUGGAGCAACACCGCGUGAGUGAAGAAGGGUUUCGGCUCGUAAAGCUCUGUUGUUAAAGAAGAACACGUAUGAGAGUAACUGUUCAUACGUUGACGGUAUUUAACCAGAAAGUCACGGCUAACUACGUGCCAGCAGCCGCGGUAAUACGUAGGUGGCAAGCGUUAUCCGGAUUUAUUGGGCGUAAAGAGAGUGCAGGCGGUUUUCUAAGUCUGAUGUGAAAGCCUUCGGCUUAACCGGAGAAGUGCAUCGGAAACUGGAUAACUUGAGUGCAGAAGAGGUAGUGGAACUCCAUGUGUAGCGGUGGAAUGCGUAGAUAUAUGGAAGAACACCAGUGGCGAAGGCGGCUACCUGGUCUGCAACUGACGCUGAGACUCGAAAGCAUGGGUAGCGAACAGGAUUAGAUACCCCUGGUAGGCAAGAG